UACAGGGGGUGCAACCGUUGCUCGGAAUUAUUGGGCGUAAAGCGCGCGUAGGCGGCUACCUAAGUCGGAUGUGAAAGCCCCUGGCUUAACUGGGGAAGUGCACCCGAAACUGAGUAGCUAGAGUGCGAAAGAGGGUCGCGGAAUUCCCGGUGUAGAGGUGAAAUUCGUAGAUAUCGGGAGGAACACCGGUGGCGAAGGCGGCGACCUGGACAGAUAUUGACGCUGAGGUGCGAAAGCGUGGGGAGCAAACAGG
rnacentral:rRNA from 1 species